GUUUAUUUGGGCGUGGAUGUUUCUUGUUUCCCCAUUUGGCUAGUCGCUCUCAAUUUUCUUCCACACAAAAUUGAGAGGAAGAGCAUUCUGAGUAGUCUGAAUCAAGAACCCCCACAAUAUCUCUCGAUUCUUCAAGAAGACUUCAAGCUACAGGACAACUGUUAAAUUUUUCCCUCUUUGAUCCUAAUUGUCGAAUCUGCAACUGUAAGCCACAACCCGCAUCCAGAUACAACAACAUACUGACUCUGUCACUCUAAGAAGAGAUGGAGGAGGAAGAUGUGAACAACCUUGAACCAGUUGAGGUAGAAGAGUAUGAAAACAAGGAUUCAUUUGGAAUUAGUAAUGAUGUUAUUGCUGCUAACCUAGAAAAAAUUGGGGACCCGGUUGUAGAUUCUGCCAUUAAUGAAGUUGUUAAUCAAGAAGAUCCAUUGGAUGCUUAUCAAAAAAAGAAGAGGGCGAAGACUUCUAAGGUUUGGAAAG